ACUUUAUUCAACAGUUUAUACUAGUCAACAGCUGCGUAGCAAUGAAAUUCUACAGAUCCCUGCUACUUGAGGACCAUGUUUGGGAUCAUUUGCGCUUGAAUAGGCUUAUGGAUUGUUUUCCGUUCAGUGGAGUAGAAAUACUCUCUGUCAUGGGGGAAAAAAAUGUCUUGUCGCGUGGUUGUUCUACACAACCGCGUUAAAAUAUGACAGGAACAAGAAGGGGGGGGGGAUACACCAGAACUAGCUUCGGCCAAGGGCUGCACCGAUCUGCGAUGACUCAGCAAAAUUAAAACACUUUUUUUGCAUUUGCGUGUUGGCCGUAUUAAAAUGCAAAGGCUGAUGAAUAUCGACUUUCAUAAUUUAACUGUUUUGUCGAUUUCUUUUAUUUUUGUCUUUGCCUUUUUGUGAAUCUCAAUACGGUGUUCCAAACCGAUGUACGUUAGCAGAGCAAAAUUGAAUACCUGCAUCACUACACUCUACACUAGCUACCAGCUAUAUUGACUACUAGGAUAUAUCUAGAACGUUUGCAAUCAGUAGGCCUACAUAAACUAUCAAUUUCCAGUUUUUUUUUUUCUUUUUCUCCGACGUUUUGCUGAAUUGCUUACUUUUUACAGUUGAUCGUAUCUGUAGGAUCCCGUGAUGCCGUUUAUUUAAACAUGCAAUUCAGGCAUUUCAUAAAGCUGGGCUGCGACAAUGAUGAGAGAAAUCUACUGACUUGGUAGUGCCUCCACAGGAAGGCACUGACCAAGGUGUGAUUAUAAGAAUAAUCUUCUCUCUGAGUCUGUGCUAA